rnacentral:sRNA from 1 species
GACAAGGUGCAACACUUCCUAUAGUAUGGCACAUGAUUGGGGUAUAUCCUGAUUGAGUUCAGCCCACAUGUCACGGGGAUUGAUAACCCUCUUACUAAAAGUGAUUGUUUCUUUGUCCUUUGUAACAAUGCCACUGACGAAACGUUAAAGCGUGGGUUUCAGUGGUAUUUU